rnacentral:rRNA from 1 species
GCGGCAUGCCUAACACAUGCAAGUCGAACGAGACCUUCGGGUCUAGUGGCGCACGGGUGCGUAACGCGUGGGAAUCUGCCCUUGGGUUCGGAAUAACAGUGAGAAAUUACUGCUAAUACCGAAUGAUGACGUAAGUCCAAAGAUUUAUCGCCCAAGGAUGAGCCCGCGUAGGAUUAGCUAGUUGGUGAGGUAAAAGCUCACCAAGGCGACGAUCCUUAGCUGGUCUGGGAGGAUGAUCAGCCACACUGGGACUGAGACACGGCCCAUACUCCUACGGGAGGCAGCAGUGGGGAAUAUUGGACAAUGGGCGAAAGCCUGAUCCAGCAAUGCCGCGUGAGUGAUGAAGGCCUUAGGGUUGUAAAGCUCUUUUACCCGGGAUGAUAAUGACAGUACCGGGAGAAUAAGCUCCGGCUAACUCCGUGCCAGCAGCCGCGGUAAUACGGAGGGAGCUAGCGUUAUUCGGAAUUACUGGGCGUAAAGCGCACGUAGGCGGCUUUGUAAG